UACAGAGGGUGCGAGCGUUAAUCGGAAUUACUGGGCGUAAAGCGUGCGUAGACGGUUAUGUAAGUCGGGUGUGAAAGCCCCGGGCUCAACCUGGGAAUUGCAUUCGAGACUGCAUAGCUAGGGUGCGGAAGAGGGAAGCGGAAUUUCCGGUGUAGCGGUGAAAUGCGUAGAUAUCGGAAGGAACACCAGUGGCGAAAAGCGGCUUCCUGGUCCAGCACCGACGUUCAGGCACGAAAGCGUGGGGAGCAAACAGG
rnacentral:rRNA from 1 species